AUUGAACGCUGGCGGCAUGCCUUACACAUGCAAGUCGAACGGCAGCACGGGUGCUUGCACCUGGUGGCGAGUGGCGAACGGGUGAGUAAUACAUCGGAACAUGUCCUGUAGCGGGGGAUAGCCCGGCGAAAGCCGGAUUAAUACCGCCUACGAAUUUCGGAUGAAAGCGGGGGCCCUUCUGGCCUCGCGUUAUAGGGUUGGUCCAGGUCUGAUUAGCUAGUUGGUGGGGUAAAGGCCUACCAAGGCGACGAUCAGUAGCUGGUCUGAGAGGGCGAACAGCCACACGGGGACUGAGACACGGCCCAGACUCCUACGGGAGGCAGCAGUGGGGAAUCUUGGACAAUGGGCGAAAGCCUGAUCCAGCAAUGCCGCGUGAGUGAAGAAGGCCUUCGGGUUGUAAAGCACUUUUGUCCGGAAAGAAAUACUGGGCCCUAAUACGGGCGGGGGAUGACGGUACCGGAAGAAUAAGCACCGGCUAACUACGUG
rnacentral:rRNA from 1 species